CCUACGGGGGGCAGCAGUAGGGAAUCUUUCACAAUGGGCGAAAGCCUGAUGGAGCAACGCCGCGUGCAGGAUGAAGGCCUUCGGGUUGUAAACUGCUUUUAUAAGCGAGAAAGCUGAUGGUAACUUAUGAAUAAGGAUCGGCUAACUACGUGCCAGCAGCCGCGGUCAUACGUAGGAUCCGAGCAUUAUCCGGAGUGACUGGGUGUAAAGAGUUGCGUAGGUGGCAUAAUAAGUAGCUAGUGAAAUCUGGUGGCUCAACCAUUCAGACUAUUAGCUAAACUGUUAAGCUCGAGACCGUUAGGGGUAACUGGAAUUUCUAGUGUAGGAGUGAAAUCCGUAGAUAUUAGAAGGAACACCAAUAGCGUAGGCAGGUUGCUGGGACGGUUCUGACACUAAGGCACGAAAGCGUAGGGAGCAAACGGGAUUAGAUACCCGGGUAGUC
rnacentral:rRNA from 1 species